rnacentral:rRNA from 1 species
AGUGAACGCUGGCGGUAGGCCUAACACAUGCAAGUCGAACGGCAGCACAGUAAGAGCUUGCUCUUACGGGUGGCGAGUGGCGGACGGGUGAGGAAUACAUCGGAAUCUACUUUUUCGUGGGGGAUAACGUAGGGAAACUUACGCUAAUACCGCAUACGACCUACGGGUGAAAGCAGGGGAUCUUCGGACCUUGCGCGAUUGAAUGAGCCGAUGUCGGAUUAGCUAGUUGGCGGGGUAAAGGCCCACCAAGGCGACGAUCCGUAGCUGGUCUGAGAGGGUGAUCAGCCACACUGGAACUGAGACACGGUCCAGACUCCUACGGGAGGCAGCAGUGGGGAAUAUUGGACAAUGGGCGCAAGCCUGAUCCAGCCAUACCGCGUGGGUGAAGAAGGCCUUCGGGUUGUAAAGCCCUUUUGUUGGGAAAGAAAAGCAGCAGGUUAAUACCCCGCUGUUCUGACGGUACCCAAAGAAUAGGCACCGGCUAACUUCGUG